rnacentral:rRNA from 1 species
GAUGAACGCUAGCGGAAGGCAUAAUACAUGCAAGUCGAACGGAUGUAGCAAUACAUUAGUGGCGCACGGGUGCGUAACGCGUAUGCAACCUACCUUCAUCAGGGGGAUAACUACUCGAAAGGGUGGCUAACACCGCAUAAUACUACUGAAUAGCAUCAUUUGGUAUUUAAAUCUGAGGAGGAUGAAGAUGGGCAUGCGUCUGAUUAGCUAGUUGGUGUGGUAACGGCGCACCAAGGCGACGAUCAGUAGGGGAACUGAGAGGUUGGUCCCCCAAACCGGCACUGAGAUACGGGCCAGACUCCUACGGGAGGCAGCAGUAGGGAAUAUUGGUCAAUGGUGGGAACACUGAACCAGCCAUUCCGCGUGCAGGAAGAAGGGUCUCUGACUUGUAAACUGCUUUAGCAAGGGAAGAAAAAGCUCAUGCGUGAGAAAUUGACGGUACCUUGAGAAUAAGCACCGGCUAACUACGUGCCAGCCGCCGCAGUAAAAC